rnacentral:lncRNA from 1 species
GAAAGUCAUAGGUUAGUGGGAAGUCAAUGAAUGAAAAAGUUGAAAAUAAAAGGGAUUAAAUAGAAUAAAAAAUAAACCAGAAUUAAUUGUUAUAAAAAGGAGAGAGAAUGAGAAAAUGGAGGAAUCCUACGUAUAUUUUUUAGAGAGAGAAAGAAAGGAGGCAAACCCUAGUAGUAAGCUAUGCAAUGAGAAGGUCCUCCCAUCACCAAGAACUCAAGAAAUUUCUGCAUAAUUGAGGUAGAGUAUAUUAUUCUAUAACCGGUAAUUUAGAAAUGGUAUAAUGGGGUUUCCAUUAACCCAUGUUAUGUUUAUGUUAACUAAUGAGGAAUAUAGAUUCUACGAUUUUAAGCAAAAUUUUCCAUAUUUGUGAGAACCAUGUGUAAUGCUUGUGGUUUAAUUUUAGGGUUAAAUACACUUUACCCCCCUGUAAUGUUAGCGAGUUUAGGGUUACCCCCCUGGUAAAGUUAUUUUUUCAAUACCCCCCUUAUGUUAUGUAGAUUCCUUCAUAGAACCCCCUAAUAUCCAGGUGGCAUGGAA